GCUUCGGGUUGUAAACCUCUUUCAGUAGGGAAGAAGCUGGCCUUUGGGUUGGUGACGGUACCUGCAGAAGAAGCGCCGGCUAACUACGUGCCAGCAGCCGCGGUAAUACGUAGGGCGCAAGCGUUAUCCGGAAUUAUUGGGCGUAAAGAGCUCGUAGGCGGUUUGUCGCGUCUGCCGUGAAAGUCCGGGGCUUAACUCCGGAUCUGCGGUGGGUACGGGCAGACUAGAGUGCAGUAGGGGAGACUGGAAUUCCUGGUGUAGCGGUGAAAUGCGCAGAUAUCAGGAGGAACACCGAUGGCGAAGGCAGGUCUCUGGGCUGUAACUGACGCUGAGGAGCGAAAGCAUGGGGAGCGAACAGGAUUAGAUACCCUGGUAGUCCAUGCCGUAAACGUUGGGCACUAGGUGUGGGGGACAUUCCACGUUUUCCGCGCCGUAGCUAACGCAUUAAGUGCCCCGCCUGGGGAGUACGGCCGCAAGGCUAAAACUCAAAGGAAUUGACGGGGGCCCGCACAAGCGGCGGAGCAUGCGGAUUAAUUCGAUGCAACGCGAAGAACCUUACCAAGGCUUGACAUGAACCGGAAUGAUGCAGAGAUGUGUCAGCCACUUGUGGCCGGUUUACAGGUGGUGCAUGGUUGUCGUCAGCUCGUGUCGUGAGAUGUUGGGUUAAGUCCCGCAACGAGCGCAACCCUCGUUCCAUGUUGCCAGCGGGUUAUGCCGGGGACUCAUGGGAGACUGCCGGGGUCAACUCGGAGGAAGGUGGGGACGACGUCAAAUCAUCAUGCCCCUUAUGUCUUGGGCUUCACGCAUGCUACAAUGGCCGGUACAAAGGGUUGCGAUACUGUGAGGUGGAGCUAAUCCCAAAAAGCCGGUCUCAGUUCGGAUUGAGGUCUGCAACUCGACCUCAUGAAGUUGGAGUCGCUAGUAAUCGCAGAUCAGCAACGCUGCGGUGAAUACGUUCCCGGGCCUUGUACACACCUUCCCGUCAAGUCACGA
rnacentral:rRNA from 1 species